AUUGAACGCUGGCGGCAUGCCUUACACAUGCAAGUCGAACGGCAGCACGGGAGCAAUCCUGGUGGCGAGUGGCGAACGGGUGAGUAAUAUAUCGGAACGUGCCCAGUCGUGGGGGAUAACGUAGCGAAAGCUACGCUAAUACCGCAUACGAUCUAAGGAUGAAAGCGGGGGAUCGCAAGACCUCGCGCGAUUGGAGCGGCCGAUAUCAGAUUAGGUAGUUGGUGAGGUAAAGGCUCACCAAGCCAACGAUCUGUAGCUGGUCUGAGAGGACGACCAGCCACACUGGAACUGAGACACGGUCCAGACUCCUACGGGAGGCAGCAGUGGGGAAUUUUUGGACAAUGGGCGCAAGCCUGAUCCAGCAAUGCCGCGUGCAGGAUGAAGGCCUU
rnacentral:rRNA from 1 species